ACACAAGUGACAACGAAUGCCCAUUCUGAAAUUGUGAACUGGAGCAAAUUCACUGUAACGCUGCUAUUUAGUUUUGCUUUUUUAAAUAGUGAGAAGUUUAAUAUUUACAACAUUUGACGAGUAGAGAAAUUUAAGAUGUUCUGAACUAAUAACGUAUCGGAUGUUUGUAUGAGCGAAGCACGGUCCCCGAUAUUAAUAUAGUAAUACAGUAAUAUAGAGAGGCUCAAGUUAUGAUGGCAGUGGAGAAAGAUAGGAGAACACCGUUGCCGAUUCUCUGCCUUGCCACUGCAAUCUAUAAAGAGUAGCUGUUACCGGUACCUAACUGUUCAUUGUUGUUUAAAAUCAACCAUUAUAUUUUUCAGUUAUUAAAUAAUACAUAUUUA